CUUCCUGUCUUCUGAAAAUUCAUUAAAACUUCUUGUAUGUUGAUGAGGGAACCGAGAUCUGAAGAAGAGAAAUGACCUAUCCAAGUUCCCCCAGCUGGGGCCAGUUCUUCUGUUUCACCUAGAAUUGGAUGUUCCAACUCCUGCAGCCGAGGUCCUCUCUUGGGUCCUGAUUUUCCUUGCAAACUGACCAAAGGAAGCUUCCAGAAGCAACUGUCCACUACAAGAGGAAGGUGUGGCCAUGAGGGAAGACGGAGGCUCCAGAGGUCCUGGCUCUGCAGAGACCGCGGUGCUGCCUCCCAGCCUGCCUGAAACCUGACUUGGUUUGCACCAGCGGGUGCCCAGGCCUCCACAGAGUCUUCGGUUCUCCAGGUUUCCCAUGCCGCCAUUCUUGAUCAGUUUUCAUCUCACCUCUGUGGUUUCUACCUCCUGUAGAUGCUUCAACUCCGCCACUGAAGCCAAUGCUGCCUGCUUCCUCCGGUGACAGCAGCAAAGCAGGCAGCAGUGGCCUUGGAGGCUCUGGCUGGACCCACUGUCAUGCAUUGUCUUCCACGGUUACUCAGGCACCUUUCCUUUACCUGGAAAAUAUCUCUGAGCUCAAACAUUCAACUCACAUCUUGGAG
rnacentral:lncRNA from 1 species